rnacentral:tRNA from 1 species
GCUCCCAUGGCGUAGUGGUCACUGCGCUCGCCUUGCGCUCGGGAGACCUGGGUUCGAUUCCCGGGGGGGUCA